rnacentral:sRNA from 1 species
GCUGGGUGUGGUGGCACACACCUGUAAUUCCAGUGGCUUGGGAGGCUGAGACAAGAGGAUUGUGAGUUCAAAGCCAGCCUUAGCAAAUCGAGGCACUAAGCAACUCAAUGAGAACCUGUCUCUA